UUCCUACGGGAGGCAGCAGUGAGGAAUAUUGGUCAAUGGGCGCAGGCCUGAACCAGCCAAGUCGCGUGAGGGAAGACUGCCCUAUGGGUUGUAAACCUCUUUUAUAAGGGAAGAAUAAUGACUACGUGUAGUCAGAUGCCCGUACCUUAUGAAUAAGCAUCGGCUAACUCCGUGCCAGCAGCCGCGGUAAUACGGAGGAUGCGAGCGUUAUCCGGAUUUAUUGGGUUUAAAGGGUGCGCAGGCGGAUUUUUAAGUCAGCGGUCAAAUCGUGGGGCUCAACCUCAUCCAGCCGUUGAAACUGGGGA
rnacentral:rRNA from 1 species